GCUAGAUUGGAUAAUACCCACACUUAAUAAGAAUGCUCAAGGUCAGGUUGGAGGCCACACAAGGUCACGGGAAGACUCACCAGCUGCCAUGUCCCCAGGCAUGUCUCAUGAAGACACAGGCAGCCACAUGGAAUCACAGGUGUCUCCCAAGGACACAGGCAGUGAUGCAUAUGUGUGGUACAUAAGAGCUCAAGUUCCUCUUAGCUGUGAUAAAUGGUCAUACGGUCACUAGGUUGUUGGUGGUCUCAUUGCUGAGCUGAAGAGUGAGCUGAAGAGUUGCAAUCCCUUUGUCUGGGAACAAAAGGAGGAAGCCUGGCUCUGUGAUUUUCUAAAAUAAUAAAGAUCUCCAUCAUGAAUCAGGCAGCUGUAACUCUGAGAUCUCUAGACUGCAUGGGUCCAGCAACCUUAGAACACAGAGCGAGAGAAGCCAGCAUCCAGAGAUGUGCAGGCAAGGAGCUGGAGUGUUGGGCAGGCAAGUCAGAAGCAGCAAUAACAGCAGGCCAGUAUGGUAAGUCUAGAAACAGAAGGAUGGCUCUAACCUAACCCUGGGAGGAUCACCUCAGGGAUGAAUCAUUCAUAUUGGACCUUUAACCUUAGGGUAAAUAUUUAGAUAGAAGAUGUCUGUUGAUUUACACAAUGGAAUACUACUCAGCUAUUAAAAAAAUAAUUUAUGAAAUUCCUAGGCAAAUGGAUGGACC